UAUAAUUUACACCACCUAGGGGAUGGCUUGGCUGUAGUAGCGAUGAAGGCCGUGGCAAGCUGCGAUAAGCCUGGGGUAGCCGCAAGUCGGGCUUUGAACCCAGGAUUGCCGAAUCGUACAUGCAAAUGUAUGCAGACGCGGGGAACUGAAAUAUCUUAGUACCCGCAGGAAAAGAAAGCGCGAGCGAUGCGGAUAGUAAUGCGAAUGAAACCCGCACAGGGCAAACUGAAUCCUGCUUUGCAAAAGGCGUGGAGAUGUGGUGCAGCGAUAAGUUAUCCAGGACAUGAGCCGAACACGUUGGAAAGCGUGGUCAUAGAGAGUGACAACCUCGUAGGCAAAGUGCGAUGGAAGCUGCUGCAAAGAGUAACUCUGCUUGAGUAUGUAGAGUGAAUACGGGGCCAUUAAACCCCAACCCUAAAUAUUGACUACAGACCGAUAGCGUACAAGUAGCGCGAGUGAAAGCUGAAAAGAACCCACACGCGUGGGAUUGAAAAGAUCUGAAACUAGGUGGUAACACGAAGGUAAGGCAUGAAAGGGACGAAGGGCAUAGAAGUGAAGGCGCGAAAGCGCUCAGCGAUAUGCCUGGACCAGUGUCUUAUCAUUCUUCUUGAAGCAAGAGCCAGGGAGUGUAUUGGAGUGGCGAGCAGAAAUGCGUAGCGAAAGCGAGAGCGCGCAGCAUUGCGAGGCGCGGCGUAUGAAAAUGCGUCAAGUCACUCUUUUACGACCCGAAGCCACUGUGAACUACGCGCGACCAAGGCGAAGCUAGGCUAACGCCUGGUGGAGGCCUGCCACCUGUCAUGGCAUGUCCUGUUGGGUGAGUUGCGGGUAGCGGCGAUAUACCAUUCGAACGUGGCAAUAGCGGGUCCCCUCUGAAGUAUCUUUAGGAUAGCUCCGGGCGAGUUUGCACAUGCGGUAGAGCUACCGACUAGCGGGUAAGGGGUCGAAAGGCCUCCCUCGCUUAUCAAACUCCGAAUGUAUGUGCUGCGUAGACCCCGGGAGUCGACGACGCUGGGUAAGCUAGCGUCGUGAGACUGCAAAGAUAGUGACUAGGGUUAAGGUCCCCAAAUCCUAAUUGAGUGUAUCAAAGGGUGGAAAUGCCUUAGACAGCUGGGAGGUAGGCUCAGAAGCAGCCAUCCUUCAAAAAACGCGUAAUAGCGUACCAGUUGAGGCGUUCCCGCCCGAAAAUAUACGGGGCUAAAUUAGGUACCGAGACCCUAGAGUACGCAAGUACUGGUAAGAGGGCGUGCAGCACGGCAAGAAGUAUGUCCGAGAGGACAUAUGGACCGUGCCGCAGAGCAUAUCCUGGUGUUAGUAACAUCAUAUAUGGGUGAGAAUCCCAUACACCGAAAGCACACGGGUUUCUUCGCAACGCUCGUCAGCGGAGAGUUAGGCGGUCCUAAGUCGCAUGCCAACCACACUGCGACAAAAGGGAAGCUGGUUAAUAUUCCAGCCCACGGCAUGUAGGAGUGGCAACACAAGGCAGAUUUCUGACGCUUGGGGAUAUGUCCGAAAGAAAGUGCAAACGGCUGCGGAGUCUCGUUAUGAGGAGAAGCAGCUAAAUGAACUGUUGGACUGAUUUCUUGAGACAUUGAAAAGGGAAUCUGCAACGAUCAUGCUGUCCCGUACCUAGAACUAGUACAAGUGUUGCUGGCUUAAUAGGCCAAGGUGUGACGGAGCUAACCGAGGUUAGGGAAUUCGGCAAAAUAGUAGCGUAAGUUUUCGAGAAGCUAUGUCUGCGCACAGUAUGCGCAGAUGUCACUGACUAGGGAACAACGACUGUUUAUCUAAAACACAACUCACCGCAAAGCCGAAAGGCUUAGUACAGUGGGUGACGCCUGCUCACCGCCAGUACGUGAAAGCCCUUUUCAAGGGGAAUAAGCGCUGGCAAAGAGCGGGAGUAACUCUGACUCUCUUGAGGUAGCGUAAUACCUCGUCAUUUAAUCGAUGACUUGCAUGAAUGGCGUAACGAUUGUUCCACUGUCCCAACCUCGGGUCCGGUGAA
rnacentral:rRNA from 1 species